UGGGGAAUAUUGGACAAUGGGGGAAACCCUGAUCCAGCCAUGCCGCGUGAGUGAUAAGGCCUUAGGGUUGUAAAGCUCUUUCGCAGGCGAAAAUAAUGAUGGUAACCUGAGAAGAAGCCCCGGCUAACUUCGUGCCAGCAGCCGCGGUAAUACGAAGGGGGCUAGCGUUGUUCGGAAUCACUGGGCGUAAAGCGCGCGUAGGCGGCUUUCCAAGUCAGGGGUGAAAUCCCGGGGCUUAACCCCGGAACUGCCUUUGAAACUGGUAAGCUGGAGACUCGGAGAGGAUAGUGGAAUUCCAAGUGUAGAGGUGAAAUUCGUAGAUACUUGGAGGAACACCGAUGGCGAAGGCAGCUAUCUGGACGAGCACUGACGCUGAGGCGCGAAAGCGUGGGGAUCAAAC
rnacentral:rRNA from 1 species